rnacentral:lncRNA from 1 species
UAAAAUCAAUUUUGUAAUAAAAAAGGACUCGACAAAGGUUAAUGUUAUCAUUUUGGAAUUCGGAUACACACCCAGUUAAAAUUUCUAGAUAUGAGGAGCAGGAUUUAGGAUAGACAAACACAAGCAUAAACACAAGAUAGACCAUGAAAACAUAGACAAUGAAAACAAGGGUUUAACACACAAGCAUAAACACAAGAGUCUUAGAAACAAGUCUAGAGACAAAAGAUAAAAAAACAGAUUAGAUAGACGGACUGCGAUAACAACCAACAUAAAACAAAAGCAAAGAGUUUCCAGCUCCUUCCAAAUCUCAAACUUGGACCUGGC